rnacentral:rRNA from 1 species
AUACGGAGGAUACGAGCGUUAUCCGGAUUUAUUGGGUAUAAAGGGAGCGUAGGUGGAUUGUUAAGUCAGUUGUGAAAGUUUGCGGCUCAACCGUAAAAUUGCAGUUGAAACUGGCAGUCUUGAGUACAGUAGAGGUGGGCGGAAUUAGUGGUGUAGCGGUGAAAUGCUUAGAUAUCACGAAGAACUCCGAUUGCGAAGGCAGCUCACUAGACUGUUACUGACACUGAUGCUCGAAAGUGUGGGUAUCAAACAGGAUUAGAUACCCUGGUAGUCCACACAGUAAACGAUGAAUACUCGCUGUUUGCGAUAUACAGUAAGCGGCCAAGCGAAAGCAUUAAGUAUUCCACCUGGGGAGUACGCCGGCAACGGUGAAACUCAAAUGAAUUGGCGGGG